GAAACGGAGUUACAAGAGGCUACCAGAGAAUUCCAGGGAAUCAUGGAAGCUGAUAAAGACAACACACAACAAGUUCUUAAGGAGCAUGGGCCACAUGAAUUUAUAAAAGAUGAACAAAAUAAGGAACUAAUUGAUGAAAUGACAAAGGAAAAUAUUCAACUAAAGAAGGAGAUCCAAAAGCUCGAAACGGAGUUACAAGAGGCUACCAGAGAAUUCCAGGUACUCUCUUAAUUAUUUUAUACACUACAUUUUUGAUGGACGCAUGGUUUUUGGAAAAAGCAUUUUAAUUAUAUAAAAUUCAUUUUUGAAACCUUAUCAUCCAUGGCACCACCAUUUGUAAUAGUUCAAAAUGGAAAACAGCCCAAUGAUUCCUUCAUAAGAGAAUGAGUUAGUGAAGUGGGGUAUAGUCAUAUGGUAGAAAACUACACAGCAAUGAGAAGGAACAGAUCAUAACGACAUGCAGCAACACAAAUGGGUUUCAUAAACACAAUGUUAACACAAAAAAGACAGAUGAGGGCGUACCAUAUGCUUCCCUUUAAAUUAAGCAAAAGCAGGAUGUUCGAAGUUAAAACAGUGGUUACUUUUGGAAGCAGGUAAGACCCAGAAGGGAACCCAAGGGAGUUUCUGGAGUGUUGUCAUGUUCUGCGUGUCAUCUGUGUGCCAAUCACAUA